UACGUAGGGUGCGAGCGUUGUCCGGAAUUAUUGGCGUAAAGAGCUCGUAGGCGGUCUGUCGCGUCUGCUGUGAAAACUGGGGCUCAACCCCAGCCUGCAGUGGGUACGGGCAGACUAGAGUGCGGUAGGGGAGAUUGGAACUCCUGGUGUAGCGGUGGAAUGCGCAGAUAUCAGGAGGAACACCGGUGGCGAAGGCGGGUCUCUGGGCCGAUACUGACGCUGAGGAGCGAAAGCGUGGGGAGCGAACAGGA
rnacentral:rRNA from 1 species